GAUGAACGCUAGCUACAGGCUUAACACAUGCAAGUCGAGGGGAAACGACAUCGAAAGCUUGCUUUUGAUGGGCGUCGACCGGCGCACGGGUGAGUAACGCGUAUCCAACCUGCCCAUCACUUAGGGAUAACCUUGCGAAAGUAAGACUAAUACCCAAUGAUAUCUCUAGAAGACAUCUGAAAGAGAUUAAAGAUUUAUCGGUGAUGGAUGGGGAUGCGUCUGAUUAGCUUGUUGGCGGGGUAACGGCCCACCAAGGCAACGAUCAGUAGGGGUUCUGAGAGGAAGGUCCCCCACAUUGGAACUGAGACACGGUCCAAACUCCUACGGGAGGCAGCAGUGAGGAAUAUUGGUCAAUGGGCGAGAGCCUGAACCAGCCAAGUAGCGUGCAGGAAGACGGCCCUAUGGGUUGUAAACUGCUUUUAUAAGGGAAUAAAGUGAGAGUCGUGACUCUUUUUGUAUGUACCUUAUGAAUAAGGACCGGCUAAUUCCGUG
rnacentral:rRNA from 1 species